CUAAUACAUGCAAGUCGAGCGAGCUUGCCUAGAUGAUUUUGGUGCUUGCACUAAAUGAAACUAGAUACAAGCGAGCGGCGGACGGGUGAGUAACACGUGGGUAACCUGCCCAAGAGACUGGGAUAACACCUGGAAACAGAUGCUAAUACCGGAUAACAACACUAGACGCAUGUCUAGAGUUUGAAAGAUGGUUCUGCUAUCACUCUUGGAUGGACCUGCGGUGCAUUAGCUAGUUGGUAAGGUAACGGCUUACCAAGGCAAUGAUGCAUAGCCGAGUUGAGAGACUGAUCGGCCACAUUGGGACUGAGACACGGCCCAAACUCCUACGGGAGGCAGCAGUAGGGAAUCUUCCACAAUGGACGAAAGUCUGAUGGAGCAACGCCGCGUGAGUGAANAAGGGUUUCGGCUCGUAAAGCUCUGUUGGNAGUGAAGAA
rnacentral:rRNA from 1 species